ensembl:processed_transcript
UGAACACUGGCGAGAUGACUCUGCUGUGGUUUGUGCAAAGGAACAAUGUCCAGGGAAGCACAUCUACAAAGAAUGUGGACCUUCAAAUCCUCCAACGUGCUCCAAUGUGGCUCCCUUUCAAGACAGUGAAUGUGUGAGUGGCUGCACCUGUCCAGAAGGUUACCUAUUGGAUGACAUUGGAGAGAAAGGAAAGUGUGUAUUAAAGGAAAAAUGUCCCUGUGAAUCUAAUGGAAAAGUGUACAAGCCAGGAAAAGUCCGCGAAGGCCCCUGUGGCUCUCGGUGCACAUGCCAAGAAGCUAAGUGGUCUUGCACUGAAGCUCGAUGUCCUGGGAUAUGUAAAGUAGAAGGGAGCUCCUUUACCACUUUUGAUGACAAUAAAUUUAGCCACCCUGGAGACUGCCACUUCUUGGCUGUCCAUAAUGAUGAAAUUUCUAUUAGCGUGGAGAUCCACCCAUGCGGGAAUGGUCAGACGGGAUCGUGUUUAACUAGUGUUAUGGUUCUCCAGAAUUCUUCUUCUUCAAGUAACAGAUAUGUGUUCAACCGUGAUGGGACAGUCACAAAGGAUGGAGUUAUAAUUAAAGGUUAUUACUAUUCAGAUGAUGUGCAGAUCUUCAAUUCAUCCUCUUCGUACAUGCAAGCAGAGAUUCUCUCACACAUAAAACUGCAAAUACAAUUGGCCCCUAGGAUGCAGUUGUAUGUGUCCUUGGCUCCUAACACAUCCACAGACACUGUAGGUCUUUGUGGUUCCUUCAACAAUAAGGCAGAAGAUGAUUUCAUGUCAAGUCAGAACAUUUUGGAGAGCACAGCUCAGGCAUUUGCUAACUCCUGGGAGAUGAUGCCUUGCUCUGAGGGAAGCCCCUCUUCCUGUGUCAGCAUUGAAACAGNNNNNNNNNNNNNNNNNNGAAUGCAAAAAAUAUACGUGCUCUUGUGAAAACGGUCAGGAUUGCCUGUGUACAGUCUUGGGGAACUAUGUGAAGGCAUGUGCUGAGAAGGAAAUAUACCUCGUGGGCUGGAGAGAUGGACUGUGUGAGGUGUCUUGUCCAAGUGGUCUUGUCUUCAACUACAAAGUAAAAACCUGCAACAGUUCUUGCCGAUCGCUGUCGGCACGAGACCGAAGCUGUGAUAUAGAAGACAUUCCGGUUGACGGAUGUACUUGCCCUGAUGGAAUGUACCAGAAUAAUGAAGGGAACUGUGUUCAGAAAUCUGAGUGUGACUGCUAUGUUAAUGAUGAGAUCGUGCAACCUGGCAAAUCGAUUCUUAUUGAUGACAAUAAGUGUGUCUGUCAGGAUGGAGUGCUUCAUUGCCAAACUCCCCUUGAUUUAACCCUACAAAACUGUUCCAGAGGGGCUGAAUACAUAGACUGCAAAGACCCCAAGGCCCAGAGAAGGACAGAAAGGACAUGUGCUACCCGGAACAUACCUGAUUUUGAGGGUGACUUGCCUUGCAAACGUGGGUGCUACUGUCCUGUAGGAAUGGUCCGUAACUCUAAAGGGAUAUGUAUACAUCCUGAUGACUGUCCCUGCUCUUUUGGUGACAGAGAAUAUGAACAGGGAAGUGUUACUUCUGUUGGCUGCAAUGAGUGUACUUGCAUAAAAGGGUCUUGGAACUGUACCCAGAAUGAGUGUCAAUCAACUUGCCAUGUCUACGGAGAAGGACAUUUCAGAACUUUUGAUGGAGAAAGUUACAGUUUCGACGGGCUCUGCCAGUAUACAUUCCUUGAGGAUUACUGUGGCCAAGAAAAUGGCACAUUCCGUAUUUUAAUCGAGAGUGUCCCCUGCUGUGAAAAUGGGCUUACUUGCUCCAGAAAAGUCAUCGUGACAUUCCAGGAUCAGAACAUCAUCUUACAAGACGGCAAAGUGACAGCAGUUCAAACUGCGGAGAGUACAGAUUGCAGGGAGCGUAGUGCGAACUUGUACUCGAUCCACACGGUUGGCCUGUACCUGAUUGUGAAGCUUCUGAACGGAAUUAUCCUGAUCUGGGACAAAUACACAAAAGUAUCGGUUAUCCUGGACCCAAGUUGGCAGAACAAAGUGUGUGGUCUUUGUGGAAACAACAAUGGUGACCUUAAGGAUGACUUCACAACAAGGCACUCUUCCGUAGCUGCCGGUGCACUGGAAUUUGCCAACAGCUGGAAAACAUCUCAGGAAUGUUCAGACACAGUAACUCAAAGCUUCCCGUGUGACUCGAACCCAUACUGCAAAGCCUGGGCUGAGAAGAGAUGUGAGAUCCUCAGGGAUGACACCUUCAGGGACUGCCAUAGCAAGGUGGACCCCACGACCUACUACGAUGCAUGUAUUGAAGAAGCCUGUUCAUGUGACAUGGAGGGGAAGUACCUUGGGUUCUGUACUGCUGUGGCAAUGUAUGCAGAGGCAUGCAAUGCAGCCGGAGUCUGUGUCUCAUGGAGAAAGCCAAACCUCUGCCCUGUGUACUGCGACUACUACAAUGCCCCCGGGGAAUGCAGCUGGCACUACGAACCCUGCGGUACAGUGACGGCCAAAACGUGCAAAGAUCAGGUCAUUGGCCAGAAGUUUUCCUCACUUUUAGAAGGCUGUUAUGCUAAGUGUCCAGAAAAUGCACCCUAUCUGGACGAGAACACUAUGAAGUGUGUCCAGUUAUCAGAGUGUAGCUGCUUCUACAACGAUGUCAUACCAGCAGGUGGCGCUGUUGUGGAUGACUGUGGAAGAACAUGCUCCUGCUCUGCCGGCGAGUUGGAGUGCAGUGAAACUCCUCCAAAUUCAACAACAACAACAACAGCAACAACAGCAGCAGUCUCUACGGCCACAACUACUUCCGUAUUAAGCACAUCAGCAGCAGCGACAAGGGCCAGCAGCUCGACCUCAGGAUCGGUAGAAACCUCAGUUCCUGCUACAACCUCAACCAGUAAAGCACAAGCACACAUCACC